rnacentral:rRNA from 1 species
GGAACCUUGCGCAAUGGGCGAAAGCCUGACGCAGCAACGCCGCGUGCGGGAUGAAGGCCUUCGGGCUGUAAACCGCUUUCAGCAGGAACGAAAAUGACGGUACCUGCAGAAGAAGGAGCGGCCAACUACGUGCCAGCAGCCGCGGUGACACGUAGGCUCCAAGCGUUGUCCGGAUUUAUUGGGCGUAAAGAGCUCGUAGGCGGUUGAGUAAGUCGGGUGUGAAAACUCUGGGCUUAACCCGGAGACGCCAUCCGAUACUGCUCUGACUUGAGUUCAGGAGGGGAGUGGGGAAUUCCUAGUGUAGCGGUGAAAUGCGCAGAUAUUAGGAGGAACACCGGUGGCGAAGGCGCCACUCUGGACUGAAACUGACGCUGAGGAGCGAAAGCAUGGGUAGCAAACAGGAUUAGAUACCCUGGUAGUCCAUGCCGUAAACGGUGGGCACUAGGUGUGGGUUCCAACUAACGGGAUCCGCGCCGUCGCUAACGCAUAAAGUGCCCCGCCUGGGGAGUACGGUCGCAAGACUAAAACUCAAAGGAAUUGACGG